AACUCUGCUCUGCUUUUCAAACCUCAUUCUUCUCAACUGCAGGGACUAUUUGGUUUCUAUUAUGUGUCUGGCCUUUCAUAUUCCCGAUGGUGCAUCUGAUGAAACCCAGUAGCCAGAUAUUCUGCUGUACUUGCAGAUAGCCAUGUCUGAAAAACAGCCUCAAGAAAUCUGGGAUAGCAGCAAACCUUCGACAAAUGUGAGAAAGUUUUCAAUGGAAGAUAGUUAUGGAAAGUAUUGUGAAAAAGUGAACACACUACAAAGGGAUUUGGAAGAAGAGAAUAUUCUCAGAAGACACAGGCACUGACACUACUUUGUGAGCCAGAAAAUCAUGGAAAGUUGCCCAUUCAUUAAACUUCUCCCAGAGAGGUUGCUCAUAUAAAGAACCUACCAUCAUUUAAUCUCACCUUUCUCUACCCUGCAAAGUGAGAAAUAUCAUAGCAAUUGGGCAAAAACAAUUCUGAGAGGCUAGGAAGAGACAAAGCUUGGAUUUGAAACAAAGAUCCACCCUUCAUCAACCUUGAACAGGCUACUAUUUUGCUGUAUGUGUAGCUGCAGAUGG